UACGAAGGGGGCUAGCGUUGUUCGGAAUUACUGGGCGUAAAGCGCACGUAGGUGGCCAACUAAGUCAGACGUGAAAUCCCUCGGCUCAACUGAGGAACUGCCUUUGAAACUGUCGGGCUUGAGGCCGGGGAGGGGGGUAGCGGAAUUCCCAGUGUAGCGGUGAAAUGCGUAGAUAUUGGGAGGAACACCGGUGGCGAAGGCGGCUACCUGGACCGGUUCUGACGCUGAUGCGCGAAAGCGUGGGUAGCAAACAGG
rnacentral:rRNA from 1 species